CCUGACUGCUAUCGGAUUGAUACUAAGCCAUGCGAGUCAUUGUAACAAUACAAGGCAGACGGCUCAGUAACGCGUAGUCAACCUACCCUAUGGACGGGAAUAACCUCGGGAAACUGAGUAUAAUGCCCGAUAGAACAUUAUGCCUGGAAUGGUUUAUGUUCCAAAUGAUUUAUCGCCGUAGGAUGGGACUGCGUCCUAUCAGUUUGUUGGUGAGGUAAUGGCCCACCAAGACUAUUACAGGUACGGGCUCUGAGAGGAGUAGCCCGGAGAUGGGUACUGAGACACGGACCCAGGCCCUAUGGGGCGCAGCAGGCGAGAAAACUUUGCAAUGUGCGAAAGCACGACAAGGUUAAUCCGAGUGGUUUCUGCUAAAGGAACCUUUUGUUAGUCCUAAAAACACUAACGAAUAAGGGGUGGGCAAGUUCUGGUGUCAGCCGCCGCGGUAAAACCAGCACCUCAAGUGGUCAGGAUGAUUAUUGGGCCUAAAGCAUCCGUAGCCUGCCCUGUAAGUUUUCGGUUAAAUCUGUAUGCUCAACAUACAGGCCGCCGGGAAUACUGCAGGGCUAGGGAGUGGGAGAGGUAGACGGUACUCGGGAGGAAGUGGUAAAAUGCUUUGAUCUCUCGAUGACCACCUGUGGCGAAGGCGGUCUACCAGAACACGUCCGACGGUGAGGGAUGAAAGCUGGGGGAGCAAACCGGAUUAGAUACCCGGGUAGUCCCAGCCGUAAACUAUGCAAACUCAGUGAUGCAUUGGCUUGUGGCCAAUGCAGUGUUGCAGGGAAGCCGUUAGGUUUGCCGCCUGGGAAGUACGUACGCAAGUAUGAAACUUAAAGGAAUUGGCGGGGGAGCACCACAAGGGGUGAAGCCUGCGGUUC
rnacentral:rRNA from 2 species